AUUGCCUUGAUCUCGCGCAGCCGCGGAGCAAAACGGACGAAGAGGGUGCUGCGCCUCGCGAUGUCGGUCUUCGCGUUGCCGGCUGAGAACAACGCAGGCUUUGUGUUGAAGGUUCAGUGUCCGCUCAGCACCAGCGUCUUGACGGGCAGCAGCAGCGCCUGAAUCCGCAGCAGCAUCGCAUGCACGAUGCCGACCGCAUCGAUCGCGUGCAGCCAGAUGCGCAGGCCCGAACUGGUGGUCUUGGCGUCGAUCAGGUCGUGGUUGCUGGUGUAGGCGUUGGCGAUGCAACUGCUGCC
rnacentral:misc_RNA from 1 species